AACUUCCCUGACUCGGUUGGCAGGUAUCCGGUGCCGGCAUCCAAUUCCCCUUCGGACAUCCGCUUCGCUGCCAUUGCUGCUGCAGAACUCAUGAAGCCUGAAGCCAACAACAACAACAACGUUAAUGCAUCAACAACAAAUAAUGCAGCAGUUCAAUCUGAUAGCAAUGAUGUUUUACCUUCGUUUGAAACUGAGUUUAUGGACGAGGAAGCCAUAUUCUCCAUGCCAAGUUUGCUGGUUGACAUGGCUGGGGGAAUGUUGCUAUCUCCUCCCAGAAUGAGCCCUCCCUCCGAUAACGAAAGUAAUUAUGUUGGAGAAACUUUGUGGAACUUUUGAUCCCUCUAUAUAAACCAAUUGAAGUAAUUAAACUAAUAUAUUGGAAUUAAUGGGAAAAUGUGGUUAAUUAUAGGUAUCGAAGUGAGAACUUGGAUAGUUAAUAUGUAAAUUAAUUAAACUGAGAACUAAGGGUAAAACUAUAACUCAAAUUAAAAAAACUUAGGGUAAAACUUACGGCUACUUUGUUCUAAGACCAUGUGUCUGUGAGUGUUUUAGUAGUUCUACUAUAUGUCUAUAUGUAUGUAUUUCGAUGCUUGUGACUUGUGAGAAUGCGUACCUGUUGAUCUGGGUGCUUUGUAUGAGAAGUUUCUUUAUGUUUUAUGUGAGACAUUUGAAUCAAACUUUUGCUUUUCUUUU
rnacentral:lncRNA from 1 species